UGUGGGUCUGCACAGUAAAAUCCACAGUGUUAAAUAUGCAGUGUCAAAGUCCAUUGACUCUUUCAGAGUUAUUUCAACACCAGCUUGAGUAAGAUGCCCCCUGGUGUUGGUGUUAAUUUACGGAGUUAAAACAGUGGUGUCAAAAGUACUCUGAGAAGCCACGCCUCUCUCCUCGCCUCAUUUCUAACGGCUCUAACGGAUUUUUCUCAGCGCGCUUUUCCUAACGUCGACCGACUGCGGUAAGUGUCUUUUAGUCACCUAUUAAAGACAGUAUUUUGGCAUUUCAACAGGGGCAAACAUUUAGAAUACCUUAAUAAUGUUGGCUCGCCUUAUUCCAGCUGUCUUUGCAUUUUAAAAUGACAAAUUACAAUGGAUUAACAUGACCGAGUUGGGAACUAGCUUAUAUGUGUGGUCAACGUUCAACAAAUUAAGACUAACAAGCUCAUGUUAGUUAACUCAAACUCAACAGCACGACGAGCUGUUAAUACAGUGUGGAGGGGUGAUUAUUUUGUAGUCUUUAUGAAACUACUAGCUACUCAAGUACUUAAGUUAGCUAGCUACUGAUAUUGUAUUCUUGCAGCCGCACGGUCGACUUUAAGAGGACAUUUGAAUCGGUUACAUUUAUAUUAUUAAUAUAUUUAUCUAUUUUAUGCAGUCAUCUGUUGAUUUAAGUUAGCUGAUCUCAGGUCUGCUGAAACUCGCAGCCACGCCUCCAUUUGACUCGUUCAGAACAACAUGACUCAAGCUAAAGCACGAGGGAAGCAUUGAAGCUAACGGCGCACAGCAGUGUGCUGACGUCCUCCGCCAGAGACCCGCGCUGAGAGCGAGAGGAGCAGGACGUGUGUUACUGGGCUCGAUCACACCAGACGCGCCUCUCAAAAACGCGUCGCCCGCUAAACCAUUGAUUCCCUAUGGUACGGCGCGACUUUCAUAUUUUAAAUAUCUUGAACCCAAAAUUAACGGUUGGUUGCGCACGCAGGUCCGUUCCACAGGUGCACUGCGCUGUUUUGCCCGGCGUAUUUUUGCCUCGGCGUUUUUGGUGCGGCUGCGUCUUUUAGAGUCGCGUCUGGUGUGUUCGAGCCCUAAAACGGCUCCUGCUGCUUUCUGCUGUAACGUCAACAAGCUAACGGUGUGCGCGGGGUGUAACUACAGAGACUUUUAACUGACCAAUGUGCUGCUACUCUUUACAGGGGCCAUGCUACUGAAGGCGAAACUCGGGGGUGUCCAAACAUUUGGCCGAAUAACGGAACCAACUCUGAGGGAGUUUUUGGCUGCAGCAUUUGCAAAGUUUGGUGUCCCAGCCAUAACCGAAGGGGUGAAAGUUGUUGACGGUACGGGAACUGAGUUGGAUGACGAUGUGUUUGAGGACGUAGUGAAGGAUCCAUCAACUGGGGCGCUAACCAUCAAAUACGACACAGAAUCUGUCUCCGGUGCAACAUCCUGGGAGCAGUCCCAACCAUCAGCCCUGGAUUCAUCAGACUCGCAGGAUACAAUGAUUCUUUCUGAAAGUCCUUCUGGAAGACUACAGAGGCUAAGCAGUUGAUGGAAUCCAUUCUUACCAAGAAAUCUGGUGGGGAACUGAUAAUAAAUUAAUACAACCGAACCAAGUCCUUGAUGGAUGAAAGCAGAAGUAAAAUGGUGAACAUUCUAGCAGCUGGCAUAACAGAGAAAAAUGGUACAUCACCACCCAGAGAGUUGAAGGAAAUGUAUGCUAAAGGUAUCGUGGCUUUAUUCCCCUACCUCAGUGACCCUUAUUCCAAGAAUGGCUAUGAGCAUUAUUAUGAUGGUCAGAG